rnacentral:rRNA from 1 species
AUUGAACGCUGGCGGCAGGCCUAACACAUGCAAGUCGAGCGGAUGAAGGGAGCUUGCUCCUGGAUUUAGCGGCGGACGGGUGAGUAAUGCCUAGGAAUCUGCCUGGUAGUGGGGGAUAACGUCCGGAAACGGGCGCUAAUACCGCAUACGUCCUGAGGGAGAAAGUGGGGGAUCUUCGGACCCCACGCUAUCAGAUGAGCCUAGGUCGGAUUAGCUAGUUGGUGGGGUAAAGGCCUACCAAGGCGACGAUCCGUAACUGGUCUGAGAGGAUGAUCAGUCACACUGGAACUGAGACACGGUCCAGACUCCUACGGGAGGCAGCAGUGGGGAAUAUUGGACAAUGGGCGAAAGCCUGAUCCAGCCAUGCCGCGUGUGUGAAGAAGGUCUUCGGAUUGUAAAGCACUUUAAGUUGGGAGGAAGGGCAGUAAGUUAAUACCUUGCUGUUUUGACGUUACCAACAGAAUAAGCACCGGCUAACUUCGUG